AGAGUUUGAUCAUGGCUCAGGACGAACGCUGGCGGCGUGCCUAACACAUGCAAGUCGAGCGAGUGAAUCUCCUUCGGGAGUGAAGCUAGCGGCGGACGGGUGAGUAACACGUGGGCAACCUGCCUCAUAGAGGGGAAUAGCCUUUCGAAAGGAAGAUUAAUACCGCAUAAGAUUGUAGCUUCGCAUGAAGUAGCAAUUAAAGGAGCAAUCCGCUAUGAGAUGGGCCCGCGGCGCAUUAGCUAGUUGGUGAGGUAACGGCUCACCAAGGCGACGAUGCGUAGCCGACCUGAGAGGGUGAUCGGCCACAUUGGGACUGAGACACGGCCCAGACUCCUACGGGAGGCAGCAGUGGGGAAUAUUGCACAAUGGGGGAAACCCUGACGCAGCAACGCCGCGUGAGUGAUGACGGCCUUCGGGUUGUAAAGCUCUGUCUUCAGGGACGAUAAUGACGGUACCUGAGGAGGAAGCCACGGCUAACUACGUGCCAGCAGCCGCGGUAAUACGUAGGUGGCAAGCGUUGUCCGGAUUUACUGGGCGUAAAGGGAGCGUAGGCGGACUUUUAAGUGAGAUGUGAAAUACCCGGGCUCAACUUGGGUGCUGCAUUUCAAACUGGAAGUCUAGAGUGCAGGAGAGGAGAAUGGAAUUCCCGGUGUAGCGGUGGAAUGCGUAGAUAUCGGGAGGAACACCAGUGGCGAAGGCGACCUACUGGGCACCAACUGACGCUGAGGCUCGAAAGCAUGGGUAGCAAACAGGAUUAGAUACCCUGGUAGUCCAUGCCGUAAACGAUGAUUACUAGGUGUUGGAGGAUUGACCCCUUCAGUGCCGCAGUUAACACAAUAAGUAAUCCACCUGGGGAGUACGACCGCAAGGUUGAAACUCAAAGGAAUUGACGGGGGCCCGCACAAGCAGUGGAGUAUGUGGUUUAAUUCGAAGCAACGCGAAGAACCUUACCAGGUCUUGACAUCCGAUGCAUAGCUUAGAGAUAAGUGAAGUCCUUCGGGACAUCGAGACAGGUGGUGCAUGGUUGUCGUCAGCUCGUGUCGUGAGAUGUUGGGUUAAGUCCCGCAACGAGCGCAACCCUUAUUGCCAGUUACUACGAAAGAGGACUCUGGCGAGACUGCCGUUGACAAAACGGAGGAAGGUGGGGAUGACGUCAAAUCAUCAUGCCCUUUAUGACCUGGGCUACACACGUACUACAAUGGCGUUUAACAAAGAGGAGCAAGACCGCGAGGUGGAGCAAAACUCAAAAACAACGUCUCAGUUCAGAUUGCAGGCUGCAACUCGCCUGCAUGAAGUCGGAAUUGCUAGUAAUCGCGGAUCAGCAUGCCGCGGUGAAUACGUUCCCGGGCCUUGUACACACCGCCCGUCACACCAUGAGAGCCGGGGGGACCCGAAGUCGGUAGUCUAACCGCAAGGAGGACGCCGCCGAAGGUAAAACUGGUGAUUGGGGUGAAGUCAUAACAAGGUA
rnacentral:rRNA from 1 species